rnacentral:rRNA from 1 species
CUACGUGCCAGCAGCCGCGGUAAUACGUAGGUGGCGAGCGUUAUCCGGAAUUAUUGGGCGUAAAGGGUGCGUAGGCGGCCUGUUAAGUAAGUGGUUAAAUUGUUGGGCUCAACCCAAUCCAGCCACUUAAACUGGCAGGCUAGAGUAUUGGAGAGGCAAGUGGAAUUCCAUGUGUAGCGGUAAAAUGCGUAGAUAUAUGGAGGAACACCAGUGGCGAAGGCGGCUUGCUAGCCAAAGACUGACGCUCAUGCACGAAAGCGUGGGGACCAAACAGGAUUAGAUACCCUGGUAGUCCACGCCGUAAACGAUGAGUGCUAGGUGUUAGACCCUUUCCGGGGUUUAGUGCCGUAGCUAACGCAUUAAGCACUCCGCCUGGGGAGUACGACCGCAAGGUUGAAACUCAAAGGAAUUGACGGGGGCCCGCACAAGCGGUGGAGCAUGUGGUUUAAUUCGAAGCAACGCGAAGAACCUUACCAGGUCUUGACAUCCCUCUGACCGCUCUAGAGAUAGAGCUUUC